rnacentral:rRNA from 1 species
UACGUAGGGUGCGAGCGUUAAUCGGAAUUACUGGGCGUAAAGCGUGCGCAGGCGGUUUUAUAAGCCAGAUGUGAAAAGCCCCGGGCUCAACCUGGGAAUGGCAUUUGGGACUGUAAGGCUGGAGUAUGGCAGAGGAGACUAGAAUUCCUGGUGUAGCAGUGAAAUGCGUAGAUAUGUGGAGGAAUACCGAUGGCGAAGGCAGCCCCCUCGGGAGUAACACUGACGCUCAUGCACGAAAGCGUGGGGAGCAAACAGGAUUAGAUACCCGGGUA